rnacentral:lncRNA from 10 species
AGCCUGAACUUUCUCAUCCAACACCCGUUCAAGUCGGAGGAUGCUGAUUAAUUCAUGAUGGAAAGCUCUUCUUGGACUAAAAGGCCCUCAGCAUUCCUGUCAAUUUCUACACUCCUGAAGCUUCAUCUGGAGACCUCUGUGGAUUCUAUAACUCAAAGACCCAGGCUGACGGCUGGUGGAAUAGCUACCAUCUCAAACAUGGCGUGAUGCUGCAUCAGAGAGAAAAAUAAGCUCUUGCAUUGACAAUGAAAUGUCUACCCUGUAGUGACUUGUGCUUACUUCCACUCACAAGUGAUUGCCCAGAGCUACUUACCUGGCUCCAAUCUACCACUGGGUGUGUACUUGCAAUCUACCAUGUACCUAGAAGAUGAGAGAAACAAAUUAUUAAUGAUGACCAC